GGAGGAGAAAGCAACUGGCUUCGUGGAAACUUCUGGUUCCAUCUAGCAGACUUGGCUGUGCCCCUUUUCCAGGAUGCAGAGCUCCACCCUGAGUCAUCGGUUAUUAUUGUGGCACUUAAUCUUUCCACCUAGUCCAGAGCCUUCCGGUUCUGGGCUGCUUGUAAUCUUCCUUUUAUUAAGAGAAAAUCGCUUUGCUUUACCGGACUGCUGCUGGCUCCAGUCUGCAAAUUGGGAGGGAGGAGGGCGGAGUGACUGAAGGAAAGCAAAUCUAAUUGGGAAGGUUUUUCAGGACAUGUCCCUUAAUUAACUACCACCUUUGUGAUCAAGAACAGAUCUCUUUGGGAUGAAUAUAAGCCGAGUAGAAAAUUUGCUGGAUCAAAUGGUUACAAGCUGAGACAGAAGAAUCAUAUAAACCCAAAGAAGAAUGCCCUGAAUAAUUUUACAAUCCAGGACACAAUGUUUUCACCAAUGAUGGAACAGUGUUCACCAGUGGAAGGGUAUUGCAGUUGUCACUCUGAUUCUACAUUCUAGUUCUCUAAGAUGCUGGAAAUGAUCUGUAGCAAGUCUUCAGUCAUACAAUGUUGUCUUAACACUUUUAGAGUAGAGAAGCACCAUAGCAGCUGGCUCACAGGGAAAUUAUAUAUUUAGUUCAAAAAGCUGUCGAUAUAAUGUAAAUGUUUAACUUACAUAUUUAAUUUAUGUGCUUGACAUCUGCCAUAGACUAUUGUAGAUUAUAAAUUCUUAUAUAACAGAUAGACUUCCUUCUUAUUCUAUUUAAU
rnacentral:lncRNA from 1 species